rfam:Anoxybacillus flavithermus strain 25 c72, whole genome shotgun sequence.
CACCCUUUUUAAAGGCAGUCCAGCGAGGCUGACAAAGGGGAUUCGUUUCCUAUACCCUCUUUGUGCCUUCGUACGGACAAAGAGGGUUUUUAUU